UCAGGCUCUACACCUCUUUGAAUCAUUACAUUGAAUGUAUUUUGAGCCUCUGAAACCAUUCCAUCCUUACAAAGAGCAUCGAUCAAUACACUGAAGGUAUAAACAUUUGGUAAUAUGUUCUGCUCCACCAUUUCAUUCAUCAAGGCCAAAGCUUGGUUCUUUUGGCCUAAUUUGCAAACACCGUGAAGUAAACUAUUGUAAGUGAUGACAUCAGGUGAAAUGCCCUUAUUCCUCAUUUGAGAGAAGAGCUCUAAAGCCUCACCAACUAGCUCAUCCUUGCAAAGGGCGUCAAUGAUUGCACUGUAUGUGACAACAUUUGGCUCACAAUCUCCAUCAGCCAUUCCCUUUAGUAGCCCAAUAGCCACACUUGUUUUCCCAAAUUUACACAUUCCGUUUAUUAUCACACUGUAAGUACGAACAUUAGGUUGAUAACCACGUGCAACCAUAUCAUCGAAAAAUUCCACUGCUUUGUCGAUUUUACUCUCCAUACAAAGCCCAUUAAUUAAGGUAGUAAAUGUCACAGUGGUAGGCUCCAAUCCAAAUUUUAGCAUCUUACCAAAAACAGAGAAGCCAAAAUCCACAAGGUGUAAGUGGCAGAAGCAAUUAAUUAAGAUACUAAGAGAAUAAACAUCGUGUGAGAUUCCUAGCAAUUCAAUUGUUUUGGACAUGGAGUAGACAGUGUGAUAUUGUUUCAUUUUCACAAGGGCAGAUAAGAAUCUACUAAAUUGAGCCCUAGAAGGAAGAGGAUGCAUAUGAAUUACAUGAUUAAAGGAAGCAAUGGCAUCAUCAAGGCGGGUAAAAGAAGCAGAUUUGAAGUUAUUUGUCAAGAAGCGUGCAUCUUCAAGUGUGGAAGUAGAAGAAUGGCAAUAAUUGGUAAAUGAGAAUAGGAAUGGAGAUUGAAUGGUACCAAUUGCCCCUUGUAGCUGAAGAUGGAAGCUCCUGCUCUUCCUCCUCCAAGGCAUCUUCAUCAUCAUCGAUCUCUCGUCAGUUGUUUUUAGGGAUGGAUCGGAGAUUGGGAAUGAGGAAAGGAAAUAGAGAAUCGGAAAAGGAAGGCUCUCUGCCAGCUGGUAAAGUGGUAAGGAUAAAAAGGAAAUUGGGAAAGGAAAUGCAUUACUAGUUGUUUAUAUGCAGCACAUUUUGUAAUUUUUUUUUAAUUAAUUUUUCAUAUAAAAAUAUUAUUUAAUAACAAAUUAAAUUAAUUAUUUUAUAUUAUUAUAAUAUUAAAUUAUUAUAACUGUACCUUAUAACAGUGUAGAGCGGGGAUGGGUUAUGGUUUCUGGGAAGUCGAUAGAGAAGGAUGAUGGAAAAGUGGUUAAACUGCAUAAACAGUACACAGGAUAUUAAAUUAUUAUAAUAUUAAUUUUAAUUAUUAAAUAUUUUACAUUUUAAUCUCUAUAAUAUUAAAAAUUUAUUAAUUAAAGUUUCAAUUUUAUAAAAGUAUUUAUUAAUUAUUUCAUCCAUAUUGAAAAUAUUUUAAUUUUUUUAAGUAAAAUUUACUAUUUAAUUUUUAUAAUAUAAAAAACACAUUAAUUACUUCUUUUAUUUUGAAAAAUAUAUCAAAAUAUUUUUAAAAUAUUAAAAAUAUAUUAAUUAGUCCUCCCAUUAAUUUUAUUUAUUAAAUAUUUUACUAUUUAAUUUAUGUAGUAAGAGAAAAUUUAUUAGUUAAUCUCUUAAUUUUAUAAAAAUAUUUACUAAUUAAUUUUUUCAUAUUAAAACAUUUCAAAAAUCAUGAAGGGAUAUUGAAUAUAUCCUAAAUUAGUCGUUAUUUUUUAUCAUUAAAACUAUAUUUGUUAUGGUGUAAUAUUUUUUAUAAAAUAUUUUUUAUAAAACAAAAUAAAGUCUUAAUUUUUAUAUUAACUUUAAUUCAAGGAUUUGGUGUCAAACGAAUAUAUAUAUAUAUAUAUAUAUAUAUCAGUGCAAUAUUAUUUUGCCAGCAAUUCUCAUAAGAAAUAAAAAUCAAUGCAUAAAUAGAAAAAAUAAAACUAGAAAAAAAGAAGUAUAUAAAUGGGAGAUAUAAUUGGUAAAAUUACUGAGAAUUUGCCAUGAAGAGUCCAAAAAAUUACUUUAAAAUAUAAAAGAGUGAAUUAUUUUUGGUUCUUAUAUUUUAUCAAAAUUGACUAUUUAAUUUUUUAUUUCUAUGUUAUUCAAUUAAAAUAAAUUUUUAUAUUAUUUAUUUAUUUUAAUUAUACAUAUAUAAUUUAGUUGUUCUAAUCAAAUCUAAAAAUAUAUUUAUUAAUAUUUUAAUUGAUAAGAAUAUCAAAGGGUUUGACUUUAUAAAACAACCGAAAUAACUUUUUUUGCGUAACUUAACUAACAUCUCAAACAGUACAUCCAAUCACCUUGGCACAAAAUAAAGAAUCUAAAAGGGAAGAAUAUAUAUAUAUACCUUCCACAAGCAUUUCUAAAAUUCAAAUUUUCAUGUUAAAAAAUUGAUUUCAUUGGAAAAGAUUGUGAACUUCAUAUUAUUAGAUGUUAAUGCAAUGAUUUCACUGAUUUGAUUUGAAGGAAAAUAAAAGAAAUUAAGCAACUUCAUGACUAGACAAAAAAAGGUGACAAAGACCCUCUAGUGAUUCUCUUACCUUAAACUCUAGGAUGGUAUAUCAUGCAUCUUGCAUUUAUAAUGUAGUCUAAUUGUUAAAUUAAUUCUCAAUUAAAGCACAGUGAUUUAUAAUCAUUAUUUUCAUUAUUAUUAAAAAUAUAAUAAUUAAGCAAAAAAGAAUUGCUUAUACCUUUAUUGUUAGAAAGGUGAAAUUGUAAUCAUAUUCUUGCAAAGUACCUACAAGAGAAAUGAUAGCAUUUUAAAAGGUCACUGAGCACAAAAAUAAAAAUAGAUAAAAAUUCUUAAGCAUUGUAGUAUGGAACCAAUUAAUUUUAGUUCUCAACUCAUUUUUAGGACUGAGCUCUAGAGGUAAGGCUGUAGUAGCAGCAAAAAAAAAAUUAUAAAGGAGAUGGUGGGUUUAGCAGCAACUUGAUCGUUAGAAAUCCAUGACCUCCAUUCAUGAACAAUCUUAUAUCAAAGAGAUCAAGUGUAUGUCUGAAUUCAAGCGAAAGGCACACACAUAUCAUGGUUUCCACUACAGGUCAUUUGCGGUGUUAGAAAUUUUCAAUUUGUGGAAGAAAAUCACAGCUGAUUGAAAUUAAAAAUUGAUAUUUGAAGAAGUUAGUUAAAUUACAUAUCUAUUAUAUUUGAAAUAGAUAAUUACCAAGUUGCGCUCCAAGACACACUUAAUGGUCAAGAUAUAACAACUUUUGCUAAUCCCUCGUUGCUUGCUUUUGGUAAAUCUUCAUGCUUGAGAAACCCUUGAAUGAUGAUAUUAUAACAACAAUUAUUCGGUAAACAUCCUCCUAUUCCAUGUCUCUAAAAAUCUUAUAUAAAAAUCUUAUAUGCUUCGUCUAUUAAUUCUUAAAUUCCAAGCACUAUUAACAGUGUAAGUCUAUGAGUUUCUAUUUAAUAGAAUCUGCCCAUUCAUUGCUUACAUAAAAUUUUCGAACCUCUUCCCAGGCUCCUUCCAUAGUGGAAUCCAAUGGAUUAGGAAGCCUCCACAUACCAUCCCUCCAAACCUUCCUCACCUUAGCAUGUCUAUGAUGUCAGAAUAUCCCAUAUUCAACUCAGAGGCCUCUCAACAAGACUUUUCCCACCCAUGCAAGGGUCAUACCAAAAUGAAAAACCCCUCUUCCCAACUUAUAUGCAUAAUGCUUUCUAAAAUAAUCUCUAAUUUUCAUCAGAUUCUUUCAAGAUCAACUAGCAUUACAAGGUUUAGAGAUCCCCAAAAACUGAGGCUUUUCAACUUAUUCCUCACCAUGUACCCUACCAGCAUAGGAUAAUUAUUUAGCAGACCAUGAGUCAAUUCUACUAGUUAAUAUACUAAUAAGCUUCUGACAAUGCUCUUUUUUAAUACUAGUAGAUACCAGAGGUAAUCCCAAAUAGAUAACAGGAAGAAAUCCCUCCCUGAAAUUGAGGAAUUGUAGAAUUUGCUGCUUCAUCUCCUCAAGCACUCUUGCAAGAUAAACACAGCUCUUAGACUCAUUUACUUGCAAUCCUAAAACCUCCUCAACUUCAAGGCCUCUCCAAGCCCACAGACCAAAUUCCUAGCCCCAUGACAAAACAAAAACAAAUCAUCUACAAAGCAAAGUGACUCAAUGUUGCUUCUUUACACCCUUUACGAAAUUUGAACCAGAUUUUCAAUUGCAAUUUCGUUUGCAAUUUUUAUUUAACCGAUCCAAAAUAAUUACAAACAUCACAAAACCAACCUAUUAAAUGCAUAAUAUAACACAAAUCAACCACAAAUCUAAUGUAUUCAAUUAUAAUAAAAAGAAAAGUCUUUUGAACUUAAAAUUGAACACAAAUAAUCUAGUAAAACCACAAAAAAUGUAUAAUUAAAAGCAUGUUUUUGUAGUAAAUGCCAAAAUAAAUAGUACCCCAAAAUGUAUACAACAAGUAAUCAACAAAAAUCCUCGAUUUGCUCAUCUAAUCCAUCUUCAUCUCAGGCAUGCGGGAAAAGACCCGGUGGACUGGUGGAAGAGAUACUGCACCACGCUCAAUCUCUGAUGUACCUGUUGCAAAAACUCAAAUUAAUACUUAAACUCAACAAGUAGGUGUUAAAACUUGCACUCAAGGAGUAAGUAUUAACUCUAGAUCAAGUUAUAAGUAUUAACUCAAGGAGCAACAAAUAGAAAUUAUUUUGAGCAUAAACUUACUACAAGUAAUAAACUAGCAAUAAAUAGACAUCAUUUUGGAAGCAUAAACUAAUUACAAGUAAUGCAUGUAUAUGAUAAACUAGUAGGUGUUAAAUUCUAAUGGACGGAAACAGGCAUGAGUAGCUUUGGUAAAAUGAUACAGAAAGCAGGUGUUAACACCUGCUAGUUCACUGAUUUAACACCUGCAUUCUUACUAGUAAAAAUCAAAAUACAUGAUAAAAUCUCCAAGUUAUUGUCCUAAUGCAGCAUGUUUACUGAAAAAUGAUAGCAUCUUAAAAGGUCAUUGAGCACAAAAGUAAAAUAGAUAAAGAUUCUUAAGCAUUGUAGCAUGGAAUCAAUUAGUUUUAGUUCUCAACUCAUUUUUAGGAUUGAGCUCUCGAGUUAAGGCUAUAGUAGCAGCCCAAAAAAAAUUGUAAGGAAUAUGGUGGGUUUACCAGCAACUUGAUCAUUAGAAAUCCAUGACCUCCAUUCAUCAACAAUCUUAUAUCAAAGAGAUCAAGUCCAUGUCUGAAUUCAAGCGAAAGGCACACACAUAUCAUGGUUUCCACCACAGGUAAUUUGCAGUGUUAGAAAUUUUCAUUUUGUGGAAGAGAAUCACAGCAAUUUGAAAUUAAAAAUGAUAUUUGAAGAAGGUAGUUAAAUUACAUAUCUAUUAUAUUUGAAAAAGGUAAUUACCAAGUUGCGCUCCAAGACACACUUGAAUGGUCAAGAUAUAACAAAUUUAGUUUGCUGAUCCCUCAUUGCGCACCUUUAAAAGCCUCAGAAUGAGAUCAUUAUUCCGCGAUAAAUGUACUACCAAUUCUGUGGUAGCAUCAUCAGCAGAGAACCCCUUAUCAACCAUUUCGUAUAUUAGUUCUGAUGCUUUUGGUAAAUCCUCAUGCCUGAGAAACCCUUGAAUGAUGAUAUUAUAACAACAAUUAUUUGGUAAACAUCCUACCUUUUCCAUGUCUUUAAAUACGUUAUACGCUUCAUCAAUCAAUCCUUGUUGGCAGAGUCCUUUCAUAAUUGCAUAAUAUACAUAAACAUCAGGUUGUAAACCAAUUUCAAAAAGACUAUAAAAAAGUUCCUUGGCAUCAUUAAUCUUCCCAACUUUGCACAUACCAUUGAUCAGACUGCUAUAGAUCACAACAUUAGGUUUCAACUGACUUUUCUCCAUUGCUUUCAACAGUGUGAGUGCCUCAUCGAGAUUCCCCUGUCUACACAAGCCAUCAAUCAUAAUUGAGAAGGUUACUAUAUUUGGUUGUUGACCAUGAGAGCACAUAUCCUUAAAGAGCUCUUUUGCAUUUUGGGGCCUCCCUGCUUGAAAUAUACCCUCUAUAAGCGUAGAAUAAGUAACAACAUCAGGAACUAAACCUUUAUGAGACAUUUCAACAAAAAUAUCCUUUGCAUCAUCUAUCAUUUUGCACUUACAAUAUCCAUUGAUCAAAAUGCUGUAGCUAAAAAUGUCAGCUAUUUCAUUGGUCACCAUCAGAUCAAAUAGCUUUCUAGCCUUAUCAAUUUGCUUGCACAGACAAUAUCCAUCCAUCAAUGAAUUAUAAUUGACAACAUCAGGUUCCACACCUCUUUGAAUCAUUAUCUUGAUUAUAUUCUGUGCAUUUGAAACCAGUCCUUUCUUACAAAGAGUGUCAAUCAAUAUAUUGAAGGUAAAAACAUCAGGGGAUAUGUUCCUCCCCACCAUUUCUUUCAACAAGGCCAAAGCUUCCUUGAAUUGGUCUGAAAUGCAAAGACCAUCAAUUAAGGAAUUGUAGGUGACCACAUCAGGCUCUACACCUCUUUGAACCAUUACAUUGAAUGUAUUUUGAGCCUCUGAAACCAUUCCAUCCUUACAAAGAGCAUCGAUCAAUACAUUGAAGGUAUAAACAUUUGGUAAUAUGUUUUGCUCCACCAUUUCAUUCAUCAAGGCCAAAGCUUGGUUCUUUUGGCCUAAUUUGCAAACACCAUGAAUUAAACUAUUGUAAGUGAUGACAUUAGGUGAAAUGCCCUUAUUCCUCAUUUGAGAGAAGAGCUCUAAAGCCUCACUAACUAGCUCAUCCUUGCAAAGAGCGUCAAUGAUUGCAUUGUAUGUCACAACAUUUGGCUCACAACCUCUAUCAGCCAUUCCCUUUAGUAGCCCAAUAGCCACAUUUGUUUUCCCAAAUUUACACAUUCCGUUUACUAUCACAUUGAAAGUACGAACAUCAGGUUGAUAACCACGUGCAACCAUAUAAUCGAAAAAUUCCACCGCUUUAUCGAUUUUACGCUCCAUACAAAGCCCAUUAAUUAAGGUAUUAAAUGUCACAGUGGUAGGCUCCAAUCCGAAUUUGAGCAUCUUACCAAAAACAGAGAAGCCAAAAUCCACAAGGUGCAAGUGGCAGAAACAAUUAAUUAAGAUGCUAAGAGAAUAAACAUCGUGUGAGAUUCCUAGCAAUUCAAUUGUUUUGGGCAUGGAAAAGACAGUGUGAUAUUGUUUCAUUUUCACAAGGGCAGAUAAGAAUCUACUAAAUUGAGCCCUAGAAGGAAGAGGAUGCUUAUGAAUUACAUGAUUGAAGGAAGCAAUGGCAUCAUGAAGGUGGGUAAAAGAAGCAGAUUUGAAGUUAUUUGUCAAGAAGCGUGCAUCUUCAAGUGUGGAAGUAGAAGAAUGGCAAUAAUUGGUAAAUAAGAAUAGGAAUGGAGAUUGAAUGGUACCAAUUGCCCCUUGUAGCUGAAGAUGGAAGCUCCUGCUCUUCCUCCUCGAAGGCAUCUUCAUCAUCAUGGAUCUCUUGUCAGUUGUUUUUAGGGAUGGAUCGGAGAUUGGGAAUGAGGAAAGGAAAUAGAGAAUCGGAAAAGGAAGGCUCUCUGCCAGCUGGUAAUGUGGUAAGGAUAAUACCUCGUGUACGUUAAAUCAUAUUAUAAUCAAACUAUUUUCUACACCUUCAUUUUGAGAUUUCUAAUAGAUACUCAAGUAUUAUAGGGGUUGUCCACAAUCAACCAUCGGGUGUUUAUUUAUUUUACAAAUUGAUAUCGAUAUUAUACCCAUCAAGAAUGUCAGGAUACUUUCACUAAAAAUUAUUCUUGAUAUUAAUUACACUAUAUUUUAUAUAUAUAAAGUAAAACCAAACUUUUUUCAUAUUGUUUAAAUGAAAGUAAAAUAAAGAUUUUUUAUUGUUUUUAUAGCAAAUCCUUUUAUUAUUGAGAAAAAACUUAAAUUUGAUUCAAAAUUCUAGACUAUCUCUUGCUAGCUGUAUUAGAGUUGUUUAUUUCAUUUUUUUAAUUUCAUAAAUGAUUUUGCUUUUUUAAAAAAAUUAUUAGUUUUUUCCUUUUAUAAAUUAAAUGUAUAAUUUUUUUUCUCAGUAGAAAAGUUAAAUUUUUAUUUUUUUUUAUUUUUUAUUUUGCAAUAUAUAGACAAACAAUCCUAUUUAAUGUAUAUGUUUAAUAAAGGAAUAGCUUAGUUACAUUGAAAAGUGAUAUCUUAAGCAUUAAUUAUACAGUACAAAUUACGUAAUGAUUUUGUGAAUCAUGCUGUAAGCGAAUAUAUAUAUAUAUAUAUGAGUGCAAUUGUGUAGAAAGUGAAUUAAGAAAUUAAUUUGCUUAUUGGUAAAUUGAUAUUUUUAAAUAGGCUUAUGAGCAUUUAAUUUUUAUAUUUUGUCAAAAUUGACCAUUUAAUUUUUUAAUUCUGUCAUUUGGUUAAAAUAAACUUUUAUAUUAUUUAUUUUUUAAUUUUAUAUAUAUAAUUUAAUUUUUUAAAUUAAAGCUAAAAAUAUAUUUACUAAUAUUUUAUUCGAUAAGAAUAUGAAAGAGUUUGAAUUUAUAAAAUUCAAAAUGUUUUAAUUGAGUGAUUUGAAAAUAGAGAUUGAAUAAUUAAUUUUGAUAAAAUAUAAGGAUUUAUUAAUAAUUUAAAUAUAUAAAAAAGAAUUAUUUAAAACUCUCUAAAGUUUCAUAUGAUAACCCCUUACAAGUUUCAGUAGUUCAUCAAACUUGUCAGUAGUGUAAAUAAGUUCGAUUGGCCAUUAAUUUUGGAGUCGAAAUCACUAUCCUGAAACUGUUUAAUCAGUUCUUGUAAUGCUGGAAACUUCAGAUUCUCUACUGAGAUUUAAUAUUUUUUGCUCUCGUCACCCACGUAAAUGGCUACAUAACCUUUUCGAAUUUAUGGGAUUUUAACUUUCAAAUCAGUCGAAUUGGAGAAUAAUUUAUAGGAAAAAGAUUAAGUAAUUGUAUAAUGUUAAUCUAAAAUUUUAGGAAGAAUUUAUUUUCUUGCUAAAAACUCUCUACAAUGAUAUUAUUAUCAAAAUUUUCUAAGUUAAAGGAAAGGUUUGAGUGUGAAGAACUCGAAAGGAAAUUAUAUAGGAGAGAAGAGUAAUUGAGAUUUAAUUUAUAUAUAUGGAUAAGGAGUGGAUUUUUAUGAUAAAAUUUAGAUUUUUAGCAUUAGCUAAAAUUUUUUAGCUGGAUUAAUUUAUUAAUUGGUUUAAAAAAAGUUGCAAAUUAAAACAGUGAAGAAGAAUCUUUAUUAAUUAUCGAAUUAUUUUCAUUUUAAUUUAUUAAUGGUAAUUGCUAAAUAUGGUAAUUAAGUGAUGCUUCAGUUUAUAAUUUUGAGAAUAAAUAAAAUUUCUUUGAUUUUAUGAUUUUAAGUUUCUUAAGAUGGUAGAAUUAGUUUAUAGGUCAGUAGAUUUUUUGUAAGGAGUUUGAAAUGGUUAUAAUAAAAAAAUUAAAUAUUUUAUUUUUUUUAUAUCAACACGAACAUUGUUAAAAAUAACAAAAUUAUUAAAAUUAUUGAAUAAAUUAAUAAAAAUUAAUAAGAUUAGCUAAAAUUAAUCAUGAGUGAAAAUAUUGAAUAACAUAAAAAUUUUGAUUUUUUCUUUUGUUAUUUAAUUUUUUUUAAAGAAAUGAAGAUAACUAUUUUUUAACAAAAGUGGGGCCAUUGAAACUAGAAUUAGCUGCUUCGAUUCAAUUUUUCUUUUCCUUUUUUGUAAAUGUUAUGUAGAUUCCCUUCAUUUUUUUUUUCUUACUAGAAUUUAUUUUCUUUUUGUAGUUUAUUAACUAUCAUACAUUACAAAAUAAUGUUUAAUGGAAAAUUUUAAUUAUAGUUUUAUUAAUAAUGAUGUUUAUAUUAAUUUUAUAUUAUUUAAUUUUAUAUAAUAAGAUAAAUAAUAGAAAAAUAAAAAUAAAAAUACCUUAUAUAUAUAUAUAUAUAUAUUUAUUUAUUGAAAGGUUAAUUUAUGUAAGAGUUUUUUUAUAAUAAAGUUAUAUAUUUAAUUUAAUUAAAAUUAUAUUUUUUUAAAAUAGAAUUUAUAUUUAAAUAAAAAAAAUUCUAACCGAUUAAAUUAAAUAUUUUAUUUUUAAUCAAUUAAAAUAAAGAGUUACUUAUAAUUAUUAAAUUUAACCACCUUUUAUAUUGAAAAUUUCAUUAUUUCCCUUUACUUUCCAUUUAUAUAAAUAUAUAUGUGUAUAUUAUUAAAAAUCAAAUAAUCACAGAUAAAAAAAAUAAGCGAUACACAAAUUUAAUGUGAUUAAUCAAUUUGGCAAGAUCAUGACGAUUAUUUUUUUUUUUAUUUUUCUAUGAAUUUUUGAAUAUAAUACACUAGAAAAAUAUUAUAUUUUUAUAUGUCUAAGAAAAUAUAAAAAAGAUAUAAUAGUUUUAAAAAAUUUACGAUCAUGGAGUAUAAUGUAUAUUUUAUAAUAUAUUAUUAGUUUCCAUAUCUCAACAUAUAUAUAUUUUAUAAAAUAAAAUUUAUAAUAAAUAGAAAAUAAUUUUAACCAAAUAAAUUAAAUAUUUUAGAGAAUAAUUUUUUUUUCAAUAAAUCAAAAUAAAUAGUUAAUUUUACUUUAUGUAUAUAUAUAAUAAGUUUUAGUUUAAAACUAAUAAAUUUAAAACUAAAUAAUUUUAAUUAAAUAAGUAUAUAUAAAAAUUAAUUCACAAACUUGUAAAAACCAAAUUUUUAAAUAUUAACGAUCCCGAUGUCUGCAAGUUUUAAAAGUGUAAUUAAACUAUAUAAAGUUAAAUUUUAAAAAACUAAGAUUGACUUGUGAAAGUAUAUGUAGAGUUUAAACUUAUUUCUCUUAUGAUAUUAAUCUCAACCUAUCACGAGAACACCUAUCUGAUUUGGAGUGAUACACUCUGCUAAUUUCUUCUGGUGCUUCACAUUUCUUGAUUAGUGAUCAUUAAUCUAAUUAAUAUUAAGUAAUCAUAUAGAUUUUACACACUAAUAUUUAAAAAUGUCUCUUUUCUUCUGAAUCCAAGGACCAUACUUACAGAUUCAAGCUCCGGAUUCAAGGCUCUUCUUCUCCAAUACUCUGCAUCGUCAACCAUCAAUAAAAAUAGCGCAGCCAGAAGCUUGACUGCAUUUGCAGUGAAUCUUCGCUCAGCUGAAGACUCUUGAGACUUUGUUCUUCUUCACUGUGUCAUUUUGAGACAAGAAUCAUUUUGUAAGCCAAUUACAAGAAAAGCUAUUUUUGAGGCAUAACUGUACUAAAUAAUCUGCAACUAAAUUUGCUUUUUUGUAAAUUUUAUCCCUGUACUUUAUUGAAAUAUAAGAUUUGGUCCUUAUAUUUUUAAAUUCUACUAUUAAGUCCCUAAAAAUUUUGACAGAAAAAUCAACAAUUCAGUCCCUACCAUCAAAACAAGAGUUAACUUUCUCUUAAAACUAUUAAAAAAUGACCAUAAUGCCUUCUAGUAUAUAUUUUUAUAUUAAAAUAUUAAUUUUUAAUGAUGAUUAGGAUGCUGACGUGAUAUUUCUGUUAAAUCUAACAUCAAAUUUACUGGUAGGUUAUAAAUAAAUUUAGAUAGUUAGUUUAGAGUAUAUUAGUUAAUUUUUAUAAUUUAGAGUAUAUCUGUUAAAAUGCGAAUAGUUCAAAGUUUUUUUUGCCACCAUCCCUUUUGCAAAUUGAUCUUGAAUACUUAUUAUAUAUAAUCUUAUUCAUAAAUAGUUAUAAUAUGUAAGGAUUAAUUUGUAAAAUUAUAGAAAUUAUUUGUCAAUAAUUAAUGUUGGAAAGAAUCCUCUGCCAUGAUUGUAAAUCAAUCAGUGAUCCUCUGUCAUGAUUGUAAAUCAAUCAGUGAUCAAAUCUUACCAUGUUUAGCAUAGCACAAUUCUAGGACAUAAUUGAGGGCACAAUCAAAGGUCUAAUUGUUCAUAUUAUGUACUAUAUAAACUCUGUAACUUACUACACAAGAGGUAAGAAAAUAAAAACAGUUUUCUUCCUAUAAUCUCAAGAUGGUAUCAGAGCGGGUUUGGGUCUAAAAAUAUAGUCAUCCUGCAAUAAUCCUUUACCAGAUACCUUUCCCAACUUCUUUCUCUCACCAAAACAACAAUGGCCGACCUUCCCAGCCCGGUUGACCAAUCCCAGGCAAUAAUUGAUCCAAUAGCAGACCUGUCACAAAAACUAUUCCAGUUAAUUCAGAAUAGCCAAGAUGGAAAUCAGAAAUCAGUGAACCAAUUCACUCUUGAUUCAGCACAGCCACCAUCCGACAUAAAAUUGAAUGAUUCCAAUUAUGUUGUAUGGGCAAAGAUGAUGGAGAUGUUUAUCACGGCGCUACAAGAAGCCGCGAAAGGAGGAGGCACAUGUGUCCCUUAUGAUCGAGAAGGAGGUAUUUUAGGGUUAGAAAGGAGGGCAAAUGACCUUUCUACCCCUGUCUCUUUAAAUAAAUCUAAAUGUGCCUCUGCUUGUUUUAAUUCUUGUAAAAUUAAAUCCCUGGUCUCGGAUGUUUUAGAUAAGUUUGGUUGUAAUCCCAAAACUGAAUCGUUAGCCCCUAAUUCUAUCGGUCAUGCUAACAAGGUACAAAAUACUAAUGGGUGGAUAUUUGAUUCAGGAGCCACAGAUACUAUGACUAAUGAUUCUUCAGAUUUUGUUGUGUCAGCCCCACCCUCAAAAUCCAAUAUUCUAAACGCUACCGGUGGCUCCUUCCCGGUCAUCAGUGGUGGUACCGUUUCUAUAACCCCCACUUUAAAUGUCUCCAACAGCCUCUAUAUACCUUCCUUAUCUUGCAAAUUACUCUCUGUCAGUCAGAUCACCAAACAGUUAAAUUGCAGAGUACUCAUGUAUCCUCAUUUUUGUGUUUUGCAGGAUAUUCAUACGGGCACGGUACUGGGCCGUGGUACUGAGAAAGAUGGACUAUACUAUGUGGAGGAGGUCUCAAAUACUGGGUCAGCUCAUUUAGCUCAAGGGUCCUCAACCCGACAGUUAUGGUUCUGGCACCGGCGCUACGGCCAUCCCUCAAGUGAUUAUCUUCGUACUUUGUUUCAUGAGUUUAAAUCCAUUGACAUUUCAGUUUGUACUUCAUGCGUGCUUGCUAAGAGUCAUAAGAGUACUUAUCAUAUAUCCACAAAUAAAUCUGAUACUCCCUUCUCAAUAAUACACUCUGAUGUAUGGGGGCCUGCCCCGGAAACUGUCUCCCUUGAUUAUAGAUACUUUGUGACUUUUAUUGGUGAUUGCACUCGUGUUACUUGGGUUUACCUGUUAAAACAAAAAAGUGAAGUGGCUGAGACAUUCUGUGAUUUUUUCCGCAUGAUUAAAACCCAAUUUUACAGGACCAUUCAAGUCCUCCGAUCUGACAAUGGGGGGGAAUUUGUCAAUAACCAUCUCCAAACCUUUUUCUGGGAUAAUGGGAUCCUUCACCAAACUACUUGUCCUUAUACACCACAGCAAAAUGGGGUUGCUGAAAGGAAAAAUCGACAUAGCCUUGAGACUGCCAGAGCCCUAUUGUUUGAAGCCCAAGUUCCUCCUAAGUUUUGGUCUGAAGCAGUUGCCACAUCCAUUUACCUCAUCAAUCGACUUCCGUCUCGCGUCCUUAAUUUCCAAUCUCCCUUGCAUACCUUGUCCUCUCAUCACACCAUCCCUUCCCAUCUCAACCUUCCACCUAAAAUCUUUGGCUGCACAGUUUAUGUUCACAUUCCUAAAACACACCGCACUAAACUUGAUCUAUGUGCUCUUAAGUGUGUUUUCUUUGGUUAUGGUGUCCAUAAAAAGGGCUAUCGGUGUUUUGACCCAAUCUCUAAACGGCUCUUCACUACCAUGGACUGCACUUUUCUGGAAGAGGAAUAUUUUUUUCCCUCGCCAACUAGCAGUGAGGGGGAGACAACGGCACAAUCACCACCACUGCCAAAUUGGCUUAGUCAAGAGGGGCCAUAACUUGAUCAUUCUUCUCUUCCUGAGUCUAUACCAGAACUGGGAGACACCAGUCAUUCUUCCCUUCCUGAGUCUACACCAGAACUGGGAGACACUAACCAUCUAGUACAGUCCUUGGAAUCAACAUCACAACCAGAACCUGGCACCGUAGAAUAUCCUGAGGAACACACAACUGAGGUAUGUGAAUCUGAACUUUCUCCUGUUCCUAAUAACCUCACCACUGAACCCAUUUCCCUUGAGGUUCUUGAAACAGGCCAAUAUGUUCUACCCCCUCGGAAUAAUAGAGGAAUUCCACCCAGGAGAUAUGAUCCAGAAUUCGAGGCAGCCAGGUCCAGAUACACUGGCAAACGUUACCAGAGGAGAAAGACUAUCACCUCAGUUGGUCAACUACAGAAAAACAUUUGCUCAGAAUGGAUACCAAAGGAUGCCACAGAGGCCCAAAAGGACAAAAGAUGGGUUGAGGCAAUGGAGAUCGAGAUGGAUGCCCUGGAGAAAAACAAGACCUGGGAAAAAUGCUGGCUACCCAAGGGAAAACAACCAGUGGGAUGCAAAUGGGUGUUUACCAUAAAGUAUAAGUCAGACGGAACGGUGGACAGAUAUAAAGCUAGACUUGUAGCAAAAGGAUAUACUCAGACUUAUGGAGUUGACUAUUCUGAAACAUUCUCUCCAGUAGCAAAAAUUGACACAAUACGGGUCCUAUUCUCUCUAGCUGCAAACCUAGACUGGCCACUUCACCAAUUUGAUGUGAAAAAUGCUUUCUUGCAUGGUGAUCUAGAAGAGGAAGUAUACAUGGAUGCUCCACCAGGGUUCAUGAGUGGAUAUAGAAGGGGAGAAGUGUGUUGAUUGAGGCGAGCCUUGUAUGGGUUGAAACAGUCACCCAGAGUAUGGUUUGGGAGAUUUACUCAAGUAAUGAAGAAAAAUGGAUAUCGGCAGAGUAACUCCGAUCACACUCUAUUCUUGAAGAGGCAAGGAAGGAAGAUCACGUGUUUGAUUAUAUACGUGGAUGACAUGAUUAUAACUGGAGACGAUGUGGACGAAACCAAACAACUGAGGGACAACUUAUUCCAAGAAUUUGAGAUGAAAGACCUAGGGAUUCUAAAAUAUUUUCUUGGAAUCAAAGUUCUCAGAUCAGACCAGGGAAUUUUGAUAUCACAGAGAAAGUACAUUCUUGAUCUGUUAAUUGAAACAGGAAUGAUAGAUUGCAAACCAGUCGAUACUCCGGUAAUGGUCAAUCAUGAGUUAAGUAAGGACUCAAAAGAAGGACCCACAGACAGGGGGAGGUACCAGAGACUGGUAGGAAAACUGAUUUAUUUAUCACACACCAGAUCAGACGUGGCAUAUGCUGUGAGUUUGGUAAGUUAGUUCAUGCAUGAUCCAAAACAAGACAAUAUGGAGGCAGCAUUGAGAAUCGUUUGAUAUCUGAAAGGAACAGCUGGGAUGGGCAUGUUGUUCAAAAAGAAUGGUCAUUUCAAUAUCAGUGGAUAUACGGACGCAAGUUGGGCAGGAGAUCUCUCCGACAGACGAUCUACUUCAGGAUACUUUACCUUUGUCGGAGGAAAUUUGGUAACGUGGAAAAGUAAGAAACAAAAGGUGGUGGCACUGUCAAGUGCUGAAGCAGAAUUCAGGGGAAUAGCAAAAGGACUGGUAGAACUCCUAUGGAUCAGAAAGUUGAUGUUUGAGCUUGGAUUCCCAUCAAAGGAUGCAGCUGAACUCCAUUGUGACAACAAGGCGGCAAUAAGCAUUUCUGAAAAUCCAGUUCAGCAUGAUCGAACAAAAUAUGUUGAAAUAGACUGACAUUUCAUCAAAGAAAAGUUGGACAGUGGUCUGAUAUCUUUACCGUUUGUUCGAUCAGAGGAUCAAUGGGCGGACAUCCUAACCAAAGCAGUAGCUGGACGAAUAUUCCAUGAGGUUUUGGGCAAGUUGGGUAUGCUAGAUCCACAUGAACCAACUUGAGGGAGAGUGUUGGAAAGAAUCAUCUGUCAUGAUUGUAAAUCAAUCAGUGAUCAAAUCUUACCAUGUUUAGCAUAGCACGAUUCUAGGACAUAAUUGAGGGCACAAUCAAAGGUCUAAUUGUUCAUAUUAUGUACUAUAUAAACUCUGUAACUUACUACACAAGAGGUAAGAAAAUAAAAACAGUUUUCUUCAUAUAAUCUCAAGAAUUAAAAUAUUCAGAAUUAAUUUGUAAAAUAGAAGGAGUUAUUUGUAAAUAAGUAUAUUAUUAGGAUCAACUUGUAAAAUUGUAGGUACUUAUUUAUAAAGAGUAAAAACUUUGUGAUUAAAUUUAUAAUAAUAUUAGGAUAAAUUAAAAAAUAUAAAAUUUAAAUUAGAAGACUAAACUAUAAAUCUAAUUAAACGUAUGAAAUUUUAUUGUUUUAGAUGAAAAUAUAUUUUAGAGGGUAUUAUGAUAUUUUUUAAUAGAUUCAAAAGUCUUAAAAGUUUAAAAGGAAUCGUAUUGUAAAGAUAAGAAUCAAUAUAACGUCUUAAUUUGUAUCGAUAAUGCAGUGAUUUUACCAUUUGCAAUUUUUAAUAAAAAUCUGUUGGUAAAUAAAUUAUCUAAUUCAUUGUUAAAAAGUUCGAUGGUAAAUUUUUAUUAAUAACUUUUAAGUCCGUUAAUAAUACUAAUGGAUUUAUUAAUAGAGUUUUGAUUAUUAUUAAUAACAGAUUUUAAAUCUGUUAAGAGAAAAAUAAUUUACUAAUAAACGUGAAAUCCGUUAAGAAAUUACCAACGUAUUGUAAUUCUUAGUCAAUUUAUUGAGUUUAAAUAAUUUUUUAUUAAUUUAAUAAGACUUAAAAUUAUAUUAUUAUUGUUACUAAGUUUUUAAUUUAUACCCAAUGUGUAUUAGAAAUACAUAGAAAGUGAAAAUAAGAGAAAAGUAAAUGGUAUAAAAUGAGAGAAAAUAAUAAAAGAGAAAGAAAAAAGAGAAAAAUAAAGAAAAUGAUAGAAAAAUAAAAAUUAUGAAAAAGAAAGAAGAAUGAGAGUAGGGUAAAAAGAUGAUUAGAGAAACAGAAAAAAAAGUGAACAAAUGAUUGGAGAAGAAAAUAAAUAAAGAGAAAAAAUAUAGAUGGAAAGAAAAUGAUAAAAGAAAUAAUACUAGAAAAACUAAUAUGAAUGAAAAUUAUAAAGAAAAUAAGAAAAUAAUGAGAAAAUGAAAGAAAAAUAUGGAAAAGAAAAUGAAGAAAAUGAAAGAAAAAUUAUGAAGAAUGAAUGAAAAUAAUAGAAGAUGAAAGAGAACGAUAGAAAGUAGGAUAAGAGAUGAAAAAAAAGAAAAAAUAGAAACAAUAAGAAAAAAAAAACUUAUAAGAUAAAAAAGUGAAAUAAAAAAAAAUAGAAAAUGAAAGAAAAUGAGAGAAGGGGAAAAUCUGGAAGAAAGUAAAAUGAUAAAAUGAAUGAAUGAUAAAAAUAUAAAAGUUGGUGUUAUAUUUAUAAAUGCGAAUUACUAAUGAAUUUGUAAUUUAUUAUUAAAUUAAAAAAAUAACUUUUUUCUCUCCAAAAAAUUAUCAAUAGAUUUCAAAUUUAUUAGUAAACCCGUUAAUAACCGAAAAAUAUAAAUCGUAAAAAAAAAAGUGAAAAUUUAUGCAGAUUUUAUUUUAAAUUUACCAAUUGAUAUAUUAGCGAAUAGCAUCCAUCCAUAAAUUCAACAAUUUUUUUUAUGUAUUAAUUUAAUGAUAAAAUUUAAUAAUAGAUUUUUAAAUUCGUUAGUAAUUUUUUAGGCAAAUUACUAAUAUAUUUAGAGUUCGUAAGUAAUUUAAACACUUUUUAAAAUUUACUUAGGAUGUAAACAAACUGAGCAUAACCUAGUUUUGAAGAGUUCAAGUUUGGUUUGUUAAAAAUUUUUCAAACUCGAGCCGAACUCAAGGUUUAAUCAUUUCGAACUCAAGUCGAGUAUUAAUAAUGUCAAGCUUACUCAUUUAGCAAAUAAACUUAGAUGAGUCGAGUUUUUAUCGAAUUUAAUCUUGAAUAAUUCACGAAUAGUUAAAUUUAUUUACAUAUAUAAUGAAUUUUAUUUUAUGAUCAAAUAUAAUUUAGUCACAUUUUUAUUAUCUUUAUUACUAUUUAAUUACACAUUUUUUCAGCUUAAUUUAUGUUUUUAUAGUGUUUUUGCGGAAAAUGGAGAAAAUGGAAAGUUAGAGAAAAAGUGCAGAAAAAACUGGGAAAUUGAUUGGGUCAGAGUGAUUUGGCCAAAUCACCCGCAGGAAACCAAAACAGAAGGCUAAAGGCAGAAACCUGGAAGUAAUUCACAGAAAUGAUUUGGGCAAGUGAUUUGCCCAAAUCACACUAACGCUAGAGAGACCAAUAACGCGGGAAAGAAGAGCAGAAAAUCAAAAUUCAAAAGUGGAGAAGUCCAAUCCUACUUCAAACACUACAAAGUCAAUUCCAAGAGCCACGAGAAGGUCUUUCACUCAAGAAAUUCCAUUCACAAUUAAAUACAAAAUCAAAAGAGAAAUCAAAGACUACAAAAGACCAAGUCAAAAUUAGGAUUUUCAAACCCUAAUUGGACUAGGAUUCUCCAUCUAUAAAAGGGACAGCAUCAAAAACAGCUAGGGAGAUCUCUCCACAGUCGGAAUUUCUGCAAAAACUCGGCAGAAGCACAACAGCCUCCUCUCUUUUCUUUCUUCUUUCUUUUUUGUGAUUUUGUCCACCAUGAGUGGCUAAACACCUUCUUUUCUAGUUGAAGUUGGGAAAUUUCAGAUUUGUGAUGAAUUGAGAGAUUUAAAACUCUAUUAUUAAACUCUUAUUUAUUUUCAAUAUUUAUGCAACUUGAUCUUUCUAUUAUUAUUGCUUUGCUUUUAGAAUCAAUUAAGGUCUAUUACUUUUAAUUGCAUGAGUAAUAUAUUGUUUGAAUGAUUUAGGUCCGUAAUUACUUAGAUUGUUUAAACUCAAGUAUAAUCGGUUGCAUAAUCUAAACUUGACCACGCGGUUGGCAAGGUUAGAAUUAGAUUUCUCUAAAUCUUAAGGCAGUUAACAGUUGAAAAGUAAAAAAAUCCCAAAAACGUUUAUUGGCAACUUGUUAACUAGUGUUUAAUUAGCAAACAUUUCCUAAUCAUACUAAAACUAAGGAGAAAUUUGGAUUGUGAGAAACGUCUUCCACAUCUUAAACUAAUUUAUUGAAAUAAAUAGGGGUAUCAAAAAGAUCAAUGAUCAAUUCUAAAUAAGUUGAAAUAGAUCCAUACUUCAAUUAGAAUCCUUCUCCCAUUGAUUUACUCAUUUAUUUAAUUACUGCUUUCUUUUACUCAAUUGUAAUUCUUCAAAACAAAAUGCCGCCUUUUAUUUACUUUUAUUAUUUAUUUGUCCAAGUCAUUAUUAGGAAAAUUCGUAUUGUCAAAUCCAUGUGGUUUGACCCUAUUGUCACUAUCUACAAAUUAUUUUAUUGAUUGAAAAUAGGUUUAUUUUUUACGGUUUCGACAACCGCUAUCACUUUAAAACUAAUAAAUUUAAAACUAAAUAAUUUUAGUUAAAUAAAUAUAUAUAUAUAAAUUAGCUCCUAAAUUUAUAAAGAUAAGAUCUUAAAUUUUAACCUCUAAAUAUAUGCAAGUUUUAAUAGUGUAAUUAAAGUAUAUAGAGCUGAAUUUUAAAAAAUUUAAAUUUGGUUUAUGAAAGUAUAUGUAGGGUUUAAAAUUAUUUUUAUUAUGAUAUUAAUCUCAGUCUGUUUAACGAGACUACUCACAAGUUGUUCGUGAGCCUGUUCAUGAACUCGAAAAUGAACUGACAUCUUGAGUCUUAACGAGCCGAAUAUUAUGAAAUUUAAACUUGACUCAUUUACUAAAUAAAUUUAAAAAUUAAAUUUGAGCUUGCAUCAUAUAGAAAUAAAGUCAAAAUCGAUCAAGUUUUUAUCGAGUUGAAUCUCGAAUAACUCAUAAAUGGUUUAAUUCAUUUACACCCCUAAAUUUAUUAACAGAUUCAAAUUAUCAAUAAAUUACCAAAGAAUUUAUUAACAGAUUUUAAAUCUGAUAGGAAAUUUCAACACCAAUUAUUUUAUAAAUUUAUAAAGUUUUACAGAAUUUUUAAAUCCGUUAAUAUUAAUUUCAAAUUCGUGGUGAAUAAUAAUUUAUAAAGUUUUAAAGAAUUUUUAAAUCCGUUAAUAUUAAUUUCAAAAUUGUGGUGAACUUUUACAUGAUUUGUUGGUGAAUUUUUACAUAAUUUUUUUAUAUUAAGAAUUAAGAUGAAUUUUUAAAUUUAUUAAUAAAUUCAUUAAAUUUACUAAUGAAUUAAAGCACUAAUAAAAUCUGUUGGUAAUACGAAAAUAUAAAAAUUUCUUGUAGUGAAAAUUGUCCGGACAAAAUAUCUAUAAGUGGAUUGUGUGGUGCUGUGCUCUUCAUUAUCGGUAGAUCUACGAGGAGCUGAGAUUAUUGCAUAUAUAUAUAUAUAAUGUAUUCGAUUAUUUUUAUAUUUAAUAUUAUUUUAUUAAUUUUAUAAAUUAAAUUAUUCAUAUAACUUAAACAUAAUUAUUUUCCUUUUAAUUAUUAAACAAUUAUUAACAAUAUUAAAAAAUAAUCAUAUAUUCUAAUUAAUUAUUAAAAAUUUCUAACAAUAUAUAAUUAAAUAAUUUAAUUAAUUAAUUUUAGUGUAUUCUACCUAAGUAGAUUAUAUAUGUGUGUGUAUUUUUUUAUAUCAACCAUAAAUGUAUUAAUUAUUUUGUAGUUUUUAAUUAUAUAAAUAAAUUACGUAUUAAUAAUAUAAUAUAUUUUUAUAUAUUAAUUAUAUCUAUUUUUUAAUGAAAAUUAUAUAAUUAAUAACUACAUAAAAUAAUAAAAUAUUCUUAUCCAGAGUUAUAUAUAAUAUAUAUUAUAUUACUACAGUUAUUAUUAUUAUUAUUAUUAUUUAAUAUUAAUUAUUUAUUAUUUUAAAAUAAACGUAAAAGGCUAUUACGAUUUUAUUUGUAAAAAUUAAAAUUUAAAAUGAAACAAAAUUAAAAUUAAAAUAAUAAAAAAAAUUGAAAUCAAAUUGAGACUACUGAAAUUACUUAGAACUAUACUAAAUUUCAAUUCUAAAUAUGAUUCUACAUAAAUUUAAUUUGGUUCUGUUUCUUAGCAAAAACUAUAGCUUUUCCUUUUAGCAUGUUGCCUUUUAUGAACUUGUUCAUAAAUAAAUUUGGACAAAAAGUCCUGUUAAAUAGCUGAAGCUAAACUAGCAUUUUAAUCGCUAGUAGGACCAAUUGCAGUUGCUUAUCUCAGUGGCUGCAUGUCUGAUUUUCAUCCUCUUCUUUUGCUUAUAAUUUCUAAACCAAUCAGCAAGUAUCUCUAACAUGCCCAAAAGCUUUCCAAAAGUCUCAAAAUCUAUAUGAAACUCUUUCCUCCACUCCCAACUUUCUAACUUCCUAACUUUUCUUUUAAGAAUGAGGAGGCUGAACAUAUAAUUAUACUAAAAACAAACUCAUAUCUUUAAUGAUGCUUUAAAACACCAAGUUUAUCCCAUAGUUUCUUCAAUCUUCUAAAGUAAACAACAACUGAUAUAGAUUCUUGACUGAAACUACUUAUUUCUUUCUUUAAUUGGUGUAUAAGUUGCCCAAAUCUUUCUUUAAAGCAAGUGUCAUAGUCACAGACAUACUCCAAGUCGAAUAAUUUACUAAAUUUAAAGGUGCAGAUAGAUAUGAGAAUCCUACUUGGAUUAUCUGAGUUUUAAAGAGUAGAAGGAUCUGAAUCAUUUUGCAAUUGGUUUCCUACCUCUCAAUAUGUACCCUGUCAGCCCCACCUUCUCUAACAAACCAUUUUCCAUGGAUGCAGUCACAAAAACUUCAAGAAUGAUGCAUCUUGCAAAAAGAAAAAUACCGUGUACAAACAAGAGCCCAAAGAAAAUUUUAUUGAGUAUAUUACAAGGUUUAGAAAGUGGUAAAAACAUAAGAUGUCUCAUUAUAUACUGCUGAAAGGAGAAAAGAAACAACCAAAACAUCUUUUCUUGCCUAACUUAACUAACAUCUCAAACAGUAAGAAACAAUGCGUUUCACAUUCAUAACACCACACAAAUGUAUCGCAAAAUGCACCAUAUAAAUAACUCAAAUGGUGGUCCAACACUAAAAUAUAUCCGUUAUAUACCAUAUUGACAAAGAGGAUGUUUGCUUUUCCCUCAAUUCCCAUAACAUUUUCUGUUGUCUAUAAUUUUAGUGACUUUUCAUCCAACCAACAGCUGUAGAAGUCUAGUGAUUUUCUUACCUUGUAUUCUGGGACUGUAUAUCCUGCGCCCUGCAUUUAUAGUGUAGUAUAAUUGUUAAAUCAAUUCUCAAUUAAAGCACACCGGUUUAUAAUCAUUAGUUUCAUUAUAAUUAAAAAUUAUAAUAACAAAGCAAAAAUGAAUUGCUUAUACCUUUAUGGUUAGAAAGGUGAAGUUGUAGUCAUAUCCUUGCAAGUACCUACAAGAGAAAUGAUAGCAUUUUGAAAGGUCAUUGAGCACAAAAAUAAAAAUAGAUAAAGAUUCUUAGGCAUUGUAGUAUGGAACUAAUUAGUUUUAGUUCUCAACUCAAUGUUAGGACUGAGCUCUCGAGUUAAGGCUGUAGUAGCAGCAAAAAAAAAAAAUUGUAAUGGAGAUGGUGGGUUUACCAGCAACGUGAUGAUUAGAAAUCCAUGACCUCCAUUCAUCAACAAUCUUAUAUCAAAGAGAUCUAGUCCAUGUCAGAAUUCAAGCGAAAGGCACACACAUAUCAUGGUUUUCACCACAGGUCAUUUGCAGUGUUAGAAAUUUUCGUUUUGUGGAAGAGAAUCACAGCUGAUUGAAAUUAAAAAUGAUAUUUGAAGAAGUUAGUUAAAUUACAUAUUCUAUUAUAUUUGAAAAAGGUAAUUACCAAGUUGCGCUCCAAGACACACUUGAAUGGUCAAGAUAUAACAACUUUAGUUUGCUAAUCCCUCAUUGCGCACCUUUAAAAGCCUCAGAAUGAGAUUAUUAUUCCGCGAUAAAUGUACUAGCAAUUCUGUGGUAGCAUCAUCAGCAGUGAACCCCCUUAUCAACCAUUUCGGUGAUUAGUUCUGAUGCUUUUGGUAAAUCCUCAUGCAUGAGAAACCCUUGAAUGAUGAUAUUAUAACAACAAUUAUUUGGUAAACAUCCUACCUUUUCCAUGUCUUUAAAUACGUUAUACGCUUCAUCAAUUAAUCCUUGUUGGCAGAGUCCUUUCAUAAUUGCAUAAUAUACAUAAACAUCAGGUUGUAAACCAAUUUCAAAAAGACUAGAAAAAAGUUCCUUGGCAUCAUUAAUCUUCCCAACUUUGCACAUACCAUUGAUCAGACUGCUAUAGAUCACAACAUUAGGUUUCAACUGACUUUUCUCCAUUGCUUUCAAUAGUGUGAGUGCCUCAUCGAGAUUCCCCUGUCUACACAAGCCAUCAAUCAUAAUUGAGAAGGUUACUAUAUUUGGUUGUUGACCAUGAGAGCACAUAUCCUUAAAGAGCUCUUUUGCAUUUUGGGGCCUCCCUGCUUGAAACAUACCCUCUAUAAGAGUAGAAUAAGUAACAACAUCAGGAACUAAACCUUUAUGAGACAUUUCAACAAAAAUAUCCUUUGCAUCAUCUAUCAUUUUGCACUUGCAAUAUCCAUUGAUCAAAAUGCUGUAGCUAAAAAUGUCAGCUAUUUCAUUGGUCACCGUCAGAUCAAAUACCUUUCUAGCCUUAUCAAUUUGCUUGCACAGACAAUAUCCAUCCAUCAAUGAAUUAUAAUUGACAACAUCAGGUUCCACACCUCUUUGAAUCAUUAUCUUGAUUAUAUUCUGUGCAUUUGAAACCAGUCCUUUCUUACAAAGAGUGUCGAUCAAUAUAUUGAAGGUAAAAACAUCAGGGGAUAUGUUCCUCCCCACCAUUUCUUUCAACAAGGCCAAAGCUUCCUUGAAUUGGUCUGAAAUGCAAAGACCAUCAAUUAAGGAAUUGUAGGUGACCACAUCAGGCUCUACACCUCUUUGAAUCAUUACAUUGAAUGUAUUUUGAGCCUCUGAAACCAUUCCAUCCUUACAAAGAGCAUUGAUCAAUACACUGAAGGUAUAAACAUUUGGUAAUAUGUUUUGCUCCACCAUUUCAUUCAUCAAGGCCAAAGCUUGGUUCUUUUGGCCUAAUUUGCAAACACCAUGAAUUAAACCAGUGUAAGUGAUGACAUCAGGUGAAAUGCCCUUAUUCCUCAUUUGAGAGAAGAGCUCUAAAGCCUCACCAACUAGCUCAUCCUUGCAAAGGGCGUGAAUGAUUGCAUUGUAUGUCACAACAUCUGGCUCACAACCUCUAUCAGCCAUUCCCUUUAGCAGCCCAAUAGCCACGUUUGUUUUCCCAAAUUUACACAUUCCGUUUACUAUCACAUUAUAAGUAUAAACAUUAGGUUGAUAACCACGUGCAACCAUAUCAUCGGAAAAUUUCACUGCUUUAUCCAUUUUACCCUUCAUACAAAGCCCAUUAAUUAAGGUAGUAAAUGUCACAGUGGUAGGCUCCAAUCCGAAUUUGAGCAUCUUACCAAAAACAGAGAAGCCAAAAUCCACAAGGUGUAAACGGCAGAAGCAAUUAAUUAAGAUGUUAAGAGAAUAAACAUUGUGAGAGAUUCCUAGCAAUUCAAUUGUUUUGGACAUGGAAAGGACAGUAUGAUAUUGUUUCAUUUUCACAAGGGCAGAUAAGAAUCUAUUAAAUGGAGCCCUAAAAGGCAGAGGAUGCAUAUGAAUUACAUGAUUGAAGGACGCAAUGGCACCAUCAAGGUGAGUAAAAGAAGCAGAUUUGAAAUUAUUUGUCAAGAAGUGUGCAUCUUCAAGUGUGGAAGUAGAAGAAUGGCAAAAAUUGGUAAAUAAGAAUAGGAAUGGAGAUUGAAUGUUACCAAUUGCCCCUUGUAGCUGAAGAUGGAAGCUCCUGCUCUUCCUCCUCGAAGGCAUCUUCAUCAUCAUCGAUCUCUUGUCAGUUGUUUUUAGGGAUGGAUCGGAGAUUGGGAAUGAGGAAAGGAAAUAGAGAAUUGGAAAAGGAAGGCUCUCUGCCUGCUGGUAAAGGAAAUGCAUUACUCUGUCGUUUAUAUGCACCACAUUUUGUAAUUUUUUAUUAAAUUUUCAUAUAAAAAUAUUAUUUAAUAGCAAAUUAAAUUUAUCAUUUGUAGAUACCUAAUUAAAGGCAGUUAUAUAAAUUGUUAAUUUUAUUUUUAAUAUUAAUAAAAUUUCAUGAAAAAUAUAUUUAAUUUUUAGCUUAUAUAAUUUUUUAUUAUUAAUUAUUUUAUUUUAUUAUAAUAAAAUUAAUUUUUUUACCAAACUUUACUCUUAUAGGAAUUGUUUAGCGCAUUUUUAUUUUGACAUCUAUUUAGAUAAUAUUACGAUUUAAUUAAUGUAAUAAAAAAAUUAAUAUAUAAAAUUAUUUCAAAAUAAUAAAAUUUUGAAAUGCUCAAACUCACUACAUAUAUUUCGCAUUUUCAAUUUUAUUUGUUAUUAAUAUUAACGUAAAAUUAUAAUAUAUAAUUUUUUUUCUAUAGAUUUAAUAUACAGUAUAUUGUAUUAUAAAUUAUAAGAAAUUAUUUUUAAAAUAUGAAUAAUACUUAUGUACAAAAUAUCAUAAAAGUUAAAAAAUUAAAUUAAAACAUUAAAAUUCAUUAAAAUUAUAAAUAUUUUAUUUAUAUGAUCACAUAAUAAAUUUUAAAUUAAAAAAUUAAAUUAAUGUGUGAAACUAAUCAUAAAAAUAUAAAAUUAUUAGCAUGAAUUAUUUAUUCGGAAUUUUUAGCCAAAAACUCAGAUAUCUAUCAUUAUAAAAUUAAUACUUUUAAUAAUUUUUUAAGUAGAAAGUUUUAAAUUUUAGUUAGUUAUUUGUUUUAGAUUAUAAUGAAUUUAAUUUCAAUUUAAAUUAAAAAGUAAUAUAGUUAAUUAAUUAAAUAUUUUUAAAUAGCAAUAAAAUACAAUAAAUUUAUAAUUAUUAAAUGUAGUUUGACAAUUUAAAUAAUAAUAGCUUCUUAAUUAUUUAUAUUUAAAUUAUCAUUUUUAUAUCUUAAAUUCUAAGAUUAUCUUUUAUAGACAUGUAUAAGAUAAACUAAAUUAUAUAUAUAUAUAAAGAAAACUAAAUUACUCUCCAAUCUUCAUGUUAUAAUAUUAUAUAAUUAAUUAUUUUUACUAGUUUAAAAAUAUGUUAUAAGAGAGACAACACACUUAAUAUAUCAUAACUUAUAUGAUUCUGAGCGAUACAUUCUACUAAAAAAUAAAAUUCAGAUAAUUAAAGGUGUUUAAUUUUAGAGCCAAAAGAUCGAAAAACUCUUGAGUUUCAUCAUUCAAAGUGUUAAAUGGGUGUUGAGACCUUAAGAUUUCAGCCUUAAAAUUAAUAUCAACAGGAGGUCUCAACCGCCUUUGAAAUCCAAGGAUUAUAUGACAGUCAACUCAAGACUGAAACCCAAGGGUAAUGACUAUUGAGUUGAAGGCUUCGGCCUACUAAGCCAAAAUCCAAAUAGACGAUAUUAUUCAAAUCACGUAAAAGUCGUAUGAUAAUUAAGACUUCAAAUCACAUAUGAGUAAAAAUGUUCUCGGAGUAAAAUUUUACAAUCUAGAACCAAUAUAGAUUUCAAAUAGUCCUACCAAGAGUCGACCAGCUUUAGAUCUAAAAGACACCUCAAGUAUGUUAAGUUAUCUUUUAAUCAAACCAUUCUCUAUACCUUUAUUUUGAGAUUUAUGAUAGAUCACUUACUAAUUUAAGUAUCAAAAAGAUAACCCACAAUAAUUCAUAUCUGAACGUUAUAUCUAUUGAGCCUGAGAAGAUCAAUAUACCAUCACUAAAAAUGGUUAUUGAUAUUAAUUGCACUACAUUUUACAUAUAUUUUAGGACAAAUCUAUACAUGGAUUUAUCUGAAUUCAUAUUUUACUAGGUAUAGAACCAAUCUUUAUUCAUAUUGUUUACAAAGAAGCUGAAACAUGGUAAACUAAAGACUUUUUUUAUUAUUUUUUUAAAAAAUUAAAAAAACUUAUUAAAUUAAGAAAAAUUAGAUGUAUAUUUGCACCUCUAAACUUUAUUAAAAAAAUUAUAUCCACAAAAAUUAAAUUAUUUUCUUAAGUUAAACUACUUUCAUAUAUUUUAUUUAUAAUUUUGACUCCACUUAUUUACGAAAAAUAAUUACUAUUUGAAUAAUAUUAAAAAAUAUUUUUUAAUAAAAUAACUUAUUUUCUCUUAUUUAAUUUUAAUUUAAAAAUAAAAUUUAUAAACUAAUUUAUAUAGCAGUCUUAAUAAGAUACUCAAAAUGCAGACAAUGAUUUUUUUUUUUUAAUUUAUUUUUCUUAAAAUAACUUAAUUUUUAUUUUAAAUAAAAAAUAUUUUCUAUUAACUAAAUUUUAAGAGUGUUUUGAAUGUUGGAAAAUAUGGACAAUUAUUACAAGAAAAAUAUUCAUUAAUGAGAGAAAAAAUUAUCAUUAAAUAUUAAAAAUUAAUCAUUGAAAAAUUACAAAAUUAUUUUUAAUUUUGUGAAAACAAAAAAUAAAAAUCAUGAAGUGAUACUAAAUGCACUUUAAAUUAGUCGUUAUAUAUAUAUAUGAGUGCAAGUGUGUAGAAAGUGAAUUAAGAAAUUAAAAUAUAAAAGAGUAAAUUAUUGUUUGAUUUUUGUACUAUUUUAAUUUUUUUUUAUUUCUAUGUCAUUCUGUUAAAAUAAAUCAUUAUAUUAUUUAUUUUUUUAAUUAUAUAUAUAUAAUUUAUUUUUUCUAAUUAAAGCUAAAAAUAUAUUUAUUAAUAUUUUAUUCGAUAAAAAUAUCAAAGAAUUUGAUUUUAUAAAAUUGAAUGAUUUGAAAAUAAAAAUUGAAUAGUUAAUUUUAAUAAAAUACAACGAUCUAUUAACAAUUUAAUCUUAUAAAAAAGAAUUAUUCAAAACUCUCUAAAGUUUCAUCAAACAGUGAGAAUCCCCUUGCAAGUUUCAUCAAACUUAUCAGUAGUGCAAGUAAGUACAAUUGGCCCAUCAAUUCUGGAGUCGAGAUCACCAUUCUGAUAUUGUUUAAUCAAUUCUUGUAAUGCCAGAAACUUCAGAUUCUCUACUUGAACUUGAUAUCUCUUGCUCUCGUUACCCACGUAUAUGGCUACAUAGCCUUUUCGAAUUUGUGGAGUUUUGACUUUUUGAUCAGUGGAACUGGAGAGCAAUUUAUAAGAAAAAAAUGACUAGAUUGCAUAACGUUGAUCUAAAAUUUUGUAAAUAAAAUCCAUUUUCCUGCUAGAAGCUCUCGACGAUGACAUUAUUGAUGAAAUUUUUUUAAGUUAAAAAAACUAUUUGAGAGUUAAAGAAUCCGAAAGAAAAUUGUAUUACAAAGAAUAAUAGUUGGGAUUCAAUUUAUAUAUAGAAUGAAUGAGUUUUCCUGAUGAAAUUUGGAUUUCCAGCAGUAAGUAAAGUUUUUUAGCUGGAUUAGUUUAUUAAUUGGUUUAAAAAAGAUACAAAUUAAGGCAGUGAAAAAGAAUCUUUAUUAAUUAUAUAAUUAUUUACAUUUUGAUUUAUUAAUGGUAAUUGCUAAAUAUGGUAAUUAAGUGAUGCUUAAGUUUAUAAUUUUGAGAAUAAUAAGAUAUGACGAUAAUAUUUAUUCAGUUUUAUGGUUUUUAGUUUCUUAAAAUGGCAGAAUUAGUUUAUAGGUCAGUAGAUUUUUUGUUAGGAGUUUGAAAUGGGAGAGAUUAUCACAAAUUAUAUGCAAUAUUCACACUUAAUUAAUUCUCUAAAUUUUUCAUACAGAAUGUUGAAAUGGUUAUCUUUGAUUAAAAAAAAGAAAUGGUUAUAAUAAAAAAUUAAAUAUUUUAUUUUUUUAUAUCAACACCAAUUUUGUUAAAAAUAACAAAAUUAUUAAAAUUAUUGAAUAAAUUAACUAAAAUUAAUAAUGAGUGAAAAUAUUGAAUUAACAGAAAGAUUUUGAUUUUUUUCUUUUUGUUAUUUAAUUUUUUUAAAGAAAUGAAGAUAACUAUUUUUUAACAAAAAGUGGGGCCAUUGAAACUAGAAUUAGCUGCUUUGAUUCAAUUUUUCUUUUCUUUUUUUGUAAAUUUUAUGUUGAUUCCCUUCAAUUUUUUUUUCUUACUAGAAUUUAUUUUCUUUUUGUAGUUUAUUAACUAUCAUACAUUACAAAAUAAUAUUUAAUGGAAAAUUUUAAUUAUAGUUUUAUUAAUAAUGAUGUUUAUAUUAAUUUUAUAUUAUUUAAUUUUAUAUAAUAAGAUAAAUAAUAAAAAGUAAAAAUACCUUUUAUAUAUAUAUAUAUAUAAGAGUUUAAUUUAUGUAAGAGUUUUCUUUAUAAUAAAGUUAUAUAUUUAAUUUAAUUAANNNNNNNNNNNNNNNNNNNNNNNAUAUAUAUUUUGAGAGUUUAAUUUAGGUAAGAGUUUGUAAAAUUAUAAAUAACAAACAGAUUUAUAAAUCAUUUGCAAAUAAAAGUGUAAUCGUUUAUAAAAUUAAAAAGAUACAUAGAUACAUGUAUGAAUUUGUUCAUACAUACAAAUGUGUGAACCAUUUGUAAACUUAAAUGCUCAUAAACAAAUUCACAAAUGAAAAUUUGUUAUGGAGUUAUAAUCCAUUUUUAAAAUUAGAUGUACACAUAUGGAUUUGUAGGGGUGAGCAUUCGGUCGGUUCGGUUCAAAAUCGAAUCGAACUGAAAAAACCGAAAACCUAAAUUUUAGUAUUUAUGAAAAUCGAACCGAACCGAUUUUGGUCAGAAACCGAAUCGAACCGAACCGGUCUGAUUCGGUUCGAUUCGGUUCGUUUGAUCAGUUUCGAUUUUUAAUGAUUUUUUUUAUUUUUUACACUUUAUUUUUAAUAUUUUAAAAUUUAAUUAAAAUAUUUUAAUUUUAAUAUGAUUUAAUUUCUCUACAUUAUUGAAAAAACAUAUUAUUAUCACUAAUCGGUUCGGUUCGAUUUUUUCAGUUUUUUUCUGAUUAAAACCGAACCGAACCGAAAUAACUGAAAUUUUUGAAAUUAAAAACCGAACCGAACCGAAAUGUAUAAAAAAUCAACUAAAUUUUAAAUCGAUUCGGUUCGGUCGGUUUUUUUGAGUUUGAACCGAAUACUGCUCACCCCUACGGAUUUGUAAAUAGAAGUGUAACUAUUUGUAAAAUUAAAAAGACAAACGGAUUUACAAAUAAAUAUGCAAUUGAUUUGUAAAAUUAAGAAAAAUUAACUAUUUAAUCAUUAUGAUAUGAUAAAAUUUAUCCGUUGUUCCCUUUAUUUUAAAAAAUAUAUUAAAAUAUUUUUAAAAUUUUAAAAAAUUUACUAAUUAAUCACUCCGUUACUAUAGGGACUAAGUAGUAAUCUUUUCUAAAAUUAAAGGACUACAAACAUAUUUACAAAUAAAUAUGAAAAUAAAAAUUAAAUGGAUAUAGAAUAAUUUGUAAAUGGACUUAUAAUUAGCUUGUGAAAUUAAUACAAAUAAAUUUAUAAACGAAUAUAUAUAAGUCAUUUAUAAAUUUAAUUUGAUAUAAAUAAAUUUAUGAUAUAGAAUUAUAAAAAAGAAUAUUUAUAUUUUUGCUAUUUCCAUUUGUAAAGCUAUAACAUUCAUAAAUGAAUUUAUAUCGGUUUAUAAAUUCCAUUUAUAUUUUAAAAAAUUCUUAUAGUAAAGGAUGAAAGAGUGAACAAUCAUAAUAAAUAGAAAAUCUUUCCAAAACAAUUAAACAAACUAUAUCAGAAGAAUUGAAGAGUUGGUUAAGAUUAUGCAGUCUAUCAGUUGUUCUUAAUUUUUAUCUUUUUCAAAAAUAUAAAAAUAAGAGUUGAUCAAUAAAAUAUAACAUGUUUCGGUUUGGAGAGUUGAUUGAGACUAUUUAGUUGUAUUCAAUUUUUAUCUUUUUCAAAUAUAUAUAUAUAUAUAAAUUUCCGAAAAGCAAAGAAACCAAAAUCCAGAAGGUGUAAAUGGAAAAAGAAACAUUUAAGAAUCUAUUAAAUAUCAAGAAUUCAGUUGUUUUAAACAAGGAAAUGACAAAGUACGUAAUAUUGUUGCAUGGCAUUUUCACAAGGGCAAAUAAGAAUCUAUUAAAUUGAGCCUACAAGGCAAAGGAUGCAUAUGAGUUACUGUUAGUAGACAGACCUUGCUAAUUUAUAAACGCUCAAUCAUAGAAAGAAGAAAGGGAUGCAGGUUACCAAGAUCAAUCACAUUAGAGAUUUUGACAAGUAUAAUUUUGACAAUUCAAUUAUUUCCCAUUCCCAUUUGUUCUUCACCCAACAGCCCAUAUUUAACAUCAACACAAAUAGGUUAGCUGCUAAAUUUAAUAGUCUGCUAAAGGAGAAUUUGAGAGCAAUAUUACCAACCGAUCGUCUCUCAUUCCAAAAUUUCAUUUUCAUCUCAUUCCCCACAGCAAAUCUGAUAUGAAUUAAAGGAGAGAAGGAAGAGUUCAUCGAAAGUAGCAUAGCCUCGAAUGUCUUUCUGAAGGGAAGAAAUGCAAUUUCCUGGAGCAAGAGAGAUACCCUUCUCCAAAUUGAAAGAAUAUUUGGAUAGAAGUUGAACUCAGAGUGAAUCCCUAUGAUUUUCAAAUCUCCAAAGCCAUUUGAACAAAAGAGCUUGAAUUUGAAGAGAGAUCUCUUUCAUGCCUAAGCCUCCUUUCUUUUUAGGCAACAAAAGAGUAUUCCAUUUAAUCAGAUGAAGUUUCUUUGUACUGACAUUUUUCCUGCCACCUUUGAUUAUACCUGUGUUAUAUAUAGAGCUAACCUGCCUUUUAUGAACUUGUUCAUAAAUACAUUUGGACAAAAAGUCCUGUUAAAUAGCUGAAGCUAAACUAGCAUUCCAAUCGCUAGUAGGACCAAUUGCAGUUGCUUGUCUCAGUGGCUGCAUAUGUCUGAUUUUCAUCCUCUUCUUUUGCUUUUCCCUCAAUUCCCAUAACAUUUUCUGUUGUGUAUAAUUUUAGUGACAUUUCAUCCAACCAACAGCUGUAGAAGUCUGGUGAUUCUCUUACCUUGUAUUAUGGGACUGUAUAUCCUGCAACCUGCAUUUAUAGUGUAGUCUAAUUGUUAAAUCAAUUCUCAAUUAAAGCACACUGGUUUAUAAUCAUUAUUUUCAUUAUUAUUAAAAAUUAUAAUAAUUAAGCAAAAAAGAAUUGCUUAUACCUUUAUGGUUAGAAAGGAGAAGUUGUAGUCAUAUCCUUGCAAGUACCUACAAGAGAAAUGAUAGCAUUUUAAAAGGUCAUUGAGCACAAAAAUAAAAACAAAGAUUCUUAAUCAUUGUAGUACGGAACCAAUUAGUUUUAGUUCUCAACUCAAUUUUAGGACUGAGCUCUCGAGUUAAGGCUGUAGUAGCAGCCAAAAAAAAAAUUGUAAUGGAGAUGUUGGGUUUACCAGCAACUUGAUGUAGAAAUCCAUGACCUCCAUUCAUCAACAAUCUUAUAUCAAAGAGAUCUAGUCCAUGUUUGAAUUCAAGCGAAAGGCACACACAUAUCAUGAUUUCCACCAUAGGUAAUUUGCGGUUUUAAAAAUUUUUGUUUUGUGGAAGAGAAUCACAGCUGAUUGAAAUUAAAAAUGAUAUUUGAAGAAAUUAGUUAAAUUACAUAUCUAUUAUAUUUGAAAAAGGUAAUUACCAAGUUGCGCUCCAAGAUACACUUGAAUGGUCAAGAUAUAACAACUUUAGUUUGCUGAUCCCUCAUUGCGCACCUUUAAAAGCCUCAGAAUGAGAUCAUUAUUCCGCGAUAAAUGUACUACCAGUUCUGUGGUAGCAGCAUCAGCAGAGAACCCCUUAUCAACCAUUUCAUUGAUUAGUUCUGAUGCUUUUGGUAAAUCCCCAUGCUUGAGAAACCCUUGAAUGAUGAUGUUAUAACAAGAAUUAUUUGGUAAACAUCCUACCUUUUCCAUGUCUUUAAAUACGUUAUACGCUUCAUCCAUUAAUCCUUGUUGGCAGAGUCCCUUCAUUAUUGCAUUAUAUACAUAAACAUCAGGUUGUAAACCAAUUUCAAAAAGACUAGAAAAAAGUUCCUUGGCAUCAUUAAUCUUCCCAACUUUGCACAUACCAUUGAUCAGACUGCUAUAGAUCACAAAAUUAGGCUUCAACUGACUUUUCUCCAUUGCUUUCAAUAGGGUGAGUGCCUCAUCGAGAUUCCCCUGUCUACACAAGCCAUCAAUCAUAAUUGAGAAGGUUACUAUAUUUGGCUGUUGACCAUGAGAGCACAUAUCCUUAAAGAGCUCUUUUGCAGUUUGGGGCCUCCCUGCUUGAAACAUAGCCUUUAUAAGAGUAUGAUAAGUAAUAGCAUUAGGAACUAAACCUUUAUGAGACAUUUCAUCAAAAAUCUGCUUUGCAUCAUCUAUCAUUUUGCACUUACAAUAUCCAUUGAUCAAAAUGUUGUAGCUAAAAAUGUCAGCUAUUUCAUUGGUCACCAUCAGAUCAAAUACCUUUCUAGCCUUAUCAAUUUGCCUGCACAGACAAUAUCCAUCCAUCAAUGAAUUAUAAGUGACAACACUAGGUUCCACACCUCUUUGAAUCAUUAUUUUGAUUAUAUUCUGUGCAUUUGAAACCAGUCCUUUCUUACAAAGAGUGUCAAUCAAUAUACUGAAGGUAAAAACAUUAGGGGAUAUGUUCCUCCCCACCAUUUCUUUCAACAAGGCCAAAGCUUCCUUGAAUUGGUCUGAAAUGCAAAGACCAUCAAUUAAGGAAUUGUAGGUGACCACAUCAGGCUCUACACCUCUUUGAAUCAUUACAUUGAAUGUAUUUUGAGCCUCUGAAACCAUUCCAUCCUUACAAAGAGCAUCAAUCAAUACAUUGAAGGUAUAAACAUCUGGUAAUAUGUUCUGCUCCACCAUUUCAUUCAUCAAGGCCAAAGCUUGGUUCUUUUGGCCUAAUUUGCAAACACCAUGAAUUAAACUAGUGUAAGUGAUGACAUCAGGUGAAAUGCCCUUAUUACUCAUUUGAGAGAAGAGCUCUAAAGCCUCACCAACUAGCACAUCCUUGCAAAGUGCGUCAAUGAUAGAAUUGUAUGUCACAACAUUUGGCUCACAACCUCUAUCAGCCAUUCCCUUUAGUAGCCCAAUAGCCACGUUUGUUUUCCCAAAUUUACACAAUCCGUUUACUAUCACAUUGAAAGUACGAACAUUAGGUUGAUAACCACGUGCAACCAUAUCAUCGAAAAAUUCCACUGCUUUAUCGAUUUUACUCUCCAUACAAAGCCCAUUAAUUAAGGUAGUAAAUGUCACAGUGGUAGGCUCCAAUCCGAAUUUGAGCAUCUUACCAAAAACCGAGAAGCCAAAAUCCACGAGGUGCAAGUGGCAGAAGCAAUUAAUUAAGAUGCUAAGAGAAUAAACAUCGUGUGAGAUUCCUAGCAAUUCAAUUGUUUUGGACAUGGAAAAGACAGUGUUAUAUUGUUUCAUUUUCACAAG
rnacentral:lncRNA from 1 species